CUUUAGUCUUUGCCUCAAAGAGCUUAUGGUGCAAUGUCAUUGGGGCAAGGACAGUAUAUACAAAGAGAAAGUAAAGUACUCACAGAGAAGUCCUAGCAAGGGUCCAGAAACCCAAUAUCAGAGCUUGGUUAUGUGGAACUUCCCUUUGGAGCAAUGAGAAGGGAGGGUCAGAGAGGCACUGGGAGGAGGUGGGAGGAAGGCACCAGGUCAGUACUCCUGCUGGCUUUGGCUGGAACUUAUCAUCUUCAUAAGAAGGGGCUUUCCCGUAGGUCACAUCCAGGCUGGAGAUGUCUUGCUGGGGUCAAAGUGGAAUCGAAGGCCCAGAGCUUCCAGGUUUGCAAAAAUGUAAACUCCAUCGGGCCUUACAGACGUCUCCAGACUCACUGCCUUCCAGAUGCCACUCACAAGCUCUGUUCCAGCCAAGCCCGACCACUUACAGCGAUGGAAUUGCAAGUGGUCAACCAGCCCUGGAGAUGGUUUUGGUGCCUGGAUCCUGGAGAUUUGUUUGGCCUCUUUGCCAAGGAUGGAAGCUCUCGUAGAGUUUGAUGGAAAUCCCCGGUCCCGUUCAUCUGCGUUUGUGACUGAGGUGGAGAUGGCUGACCGCCGUUCCUGCUUUAAGGAGUCUUUGGCCUCUCACCGGGAAGUGAGUAGGUGACAUCUUCCUUACCCAGAAGUGAUUUCAUUUGGCUCAGAUGGAGGUCACAUUGCCCGGGAAUUGACACGAUCAGCCCACUUUGGCUCUGUGCCAGGAUCUACAGCAGUCAAAGUGGGACCCAUUACUGGUAGGCAUCUCCAGGAUGCCCUGGGUCCUCCAAAUGAGUUCAACCCUGGAGUGCAAGGUCACGUAUCAGCGAUAGAGGACUUCCCAGUGUGCUAUGAUCUUGUCUUCGUGAGCUCUUACCGUAGUAAUAUCACC
rnacentral:lncRNA from 1 species